rnacentral:pre_miRNA from 1 species
AGUGGGAUAGCUGGGUCAAACGGUGGUCCCAUCCCAAGUUUUCUAAGGAAUUUCCAUAUUGCUUUCUAGAUUGGUUGCACCAAUUUUUCAGUCCCACCAGCAAU